GCAGACAACUCUGGAGAGACCGGCUGCCACGAUCGGCAAGCACCGGCGCCGAAGGGGCAAGAGGCAGGUUCCUGCCUCCAAACUCUCAGGCAAAAGGACAGAGGGGCGCCC
rnacentral:ncRNA from 2 species